rnacentral:rRNA from 1 species
UACGUAGGUGGCGAGCGUUGUCCGGAAUUAUUGGGCGUAAAGGGUGCGUAGGCGGUCUAUUAAGUCUGAUUUGAAAGGUCAUGGCUUAACCAUGGAAUUGGAUUGGAAACUGGUAGACUUGAGUGCAGAAGAGGAAGGUGGAAUUCCACGUGUAGCGGUGAAAUGCGUAGAGAUGUGGAGGAACACCAGUGGCGAAGGCGGCCUUCUGGUCUGUGACUGACGCUGAUGCACGAAAGCGUGGGUAGCAAACAGG